ACGGAUAAACGCUGAAAGCAUCUAAGCGUGAAGCCGGCCUUAAGAUGAGAUAUCCCACUGGGUUAACCAGGUAAGACCCCUCAAAGACUAUGAGGUUGAUAGGCCUGAAGUGGAAGCGCCGUGAGGCGUGUAGCUUGUGGGUACUAAUCGGUCGAGGGCUUGACCAU
rnacentral:rRNA from 1 species